GACGAACGCUGGCGGCGUGCUUAACACAUGCAAGUCGAACGGAAAGGCCCUGCUUUUGUGGGGUGCUCGAGUGGCGAACGGGUGAGUAACACGUGAGUAACCUGCCCUUGUCUUUGGGAUAACUUCAGGAAACUGGGGCUAAUACCGGAUAGGAGCUCCUGCUGCAUGGUGGGGGUUGGAAAGUUUCGGCGGUUGGGGAUGGACUCGCGGCUUAUCAGCUUGUUGGUGGGGUAGUGGCUUACCAAGGCUUUGACGGGUAGCCGGCCUGAGAGGGUGACCGGCCACAUUGGGACUGAGAUACGGACCAGACUCCUACGGGAGGCAGCAGUGGGGAAUAUUGCACAAUGGGCGGAAGCCUGAUGCAGCAACGCCGCGUGCGGGAUGACGGCCUUCGGGUUGUAAACCGCUUUCGCCUGUGACGAAGCGUGAGUGACGGUAAUGGGUAAAGAAGCACCGGCUAACUACGUG
rnacentral:rRNA from 1 species